rnacentral:rRNA from 1 species
AACGAACGCUGGCGGCGCGUCUUAAGCAUGCAAGUCGAACGGCAAGAGAGGAGCUUGCUUCUCUCCUAGAGUGGCGGACUGGUGAGGAACACGUGGGUAAUCUACCCUUAAGAUGGGGAUAGCUGCUAGAAAUAGCAGAUAAUACCGAAUACACUCGAUAUUUCAUAAGAGAUUUUGAGGAAAGGAAGCUACGGCUUCGCUUAAGGAUGAGCUUGCGUCCCAUUAGCUUGUUGGUGAGGUAACGGCCCACCAAGGCGACGAUGGGUAUCCGGCCUGAGAGGGUGAUCGGACACAUUGGGACUGAGAUACGGCCCACACUCCUACGGGAGGCAGCAGCUAAGAAUAUUCCGCAAUGGACGGAAGUCUGACGGAGCGACGCCGCGUGGAUGAAGAAGGCUGAAAAGUUGUAAAAUCCUUUUGUUGAUGAAGAAUAAGGAGAAGAGGGAAUGCUUCUCUGAUGACGGUAAUCGACGAAUAAGCCCCGGCUAAUUACGUGCCAGCAGCCGCGGUAACACGUGAGGGGCGAGCGUUGUUCGGAAUUAUUGGGCGUAAAGGGCAUGUAGGCGGUUAUGUAAGCCUGAUGUGAAAUCCUGGGGCUAUAACCCCAGAAUAGCAUUGGGUACUGUAUAACUUGAAUUACGGAAGGGAAACUGGAAUUCCAAGUGUAGCGGGUGGAAUCUGUAGAUAUUUGGAAGAACACCGGUGGCGAAGGCGGGUUUCAUGGCCGAUAAUUGACGCUGAGAUGCGAUAGUGUGGGGAUCGAACAGAGAUUAGAUACCCUGGUAGUCCACACCGUAAACGAUGUACACUACGUGUCGGGGCAAGAGCUUCGGUGCCGUAAGCAAACACAUGAAGUGUACCGCCUGGGAAGUAUGCCCACCAGGGUGAAACUCCAAGGAAUUGACGGUGGCCCACACAAGCGGUGGAGCAUGUGGUUAGUCGAUGAUAUGCAGAAACUUAGCUGGUGGACAUCGGAGCAUGACUCAGAUAUGCUCGUAGUAUACUGCUCUG